rnacentral:rRNA from 1 species
GACGAACGCUGGCGGCGUGCUUAACACAUGCAAGUCGAACGGAAAGGCCCUGCUUUUGUGGGGUGCUCGAGUGGCGAACGGGUGAGUAACACGUGAGUAACCUGCCCUUGACUUUGGGAUAACUUCAGGAAACUGGGGCUAAUACCGGAUAGGAGCUCCUGCUGCAGGGUGGGGGUUGGAAAGUUUCGGCGGUUGGGGAUGGACUCGCGGCUUAUCAGCUUGUUGGUGGGGUAGUGGCUUACCAAGGCUUUGACGGGUAGCCGGCCUGAGAGGGUGACCGGCCACAUUGGGACUGAGAUACGGCCCAGCCUCCUACGGGAGGCAGCAGUGGGGAAUAUUGCACAAUGGGCGGAGGCCUGAUGCAGCAACGCCGCGGGGGGGAUGACGGCCUUCGGGUUGUAAACCGCUUUCGCCUGUGACGAAGCGUGAGUGACGGUAAUGGGUAAAGAAGCACCGGCUAACUACGUG